AGAUUGAACGCUGGCGGCAUGCUUUACACAUGCAAGUCGAGCGGCAGCGCGGGGGCAACCCUGGCGGCGAGCGGCGAACGGGUGAGUAAUACAUCGGAACGUGUCCCGUAGUGGGGGAUAGCCCGGCGAAAGCCGGAUUAAUACCGCAUAUGCUCUACGGAGGAAAGUGGGGGACUUGGCAACAGGCCUCACGCUAUGGGAGCGGCCGAUGUCCGAUUAGCUUGUUGGCGGGUAAUGGCCCACCAAGGCGACGAUCGGUAGC
rnacentral:rRNA from 1 species